rnacentral:rRNA from 1 species
UACGGGGGGGGCAAGCGUUGUUCGGAAUUACUGGGCGUAAAGGGUUCGUAGGUGGCUUGCUAAGUCAGACGUGAAAUCCCUCGGCUUAACCGGGGAACUGCGUCUGAGACUGGCGAGCUUGAGUACAGGAGAGGAACGCGGAAUUCCAGGUGUAGCGGUGAAAUGCGUAGAUAUCUGGAGGAACACCGGUGGCGAAGGCGGCGUUCUGGACUGUUACUGACACUGAGGAACGAAAGCCAGGGGAGCAAACGGG